rnacentral:ribozyme from 13 species
AAUAAAAAAAAAAAAAAAAAAAAAACUGAGAGAAAAUCUAUAUUUUUUUUAUGUGUGUUAUCGAUCUUGUCAUUAAUGUUUUCUAUUCUAAUAUAAACGUGUCUGUAUAUGUG